rnacentral:lncRNA from 1 species
GUUGAUUGUCUUUAUUAAAAAAAAGAGUAAUACCAAGAAUAACGAACUCAAAGGUAAAUUAUCAAAGGGGGAAGUCCAAUCAAACUUACAAAACAAACUAACGAAACGAAUUUAAAAUAACUGACAUGUUUCCCAAUUACGUUCAUACUUUUUUAGAUCAAGGUUGUGGGAAAAUAUGAUUUCAUUUUAUCUAAACCGCCC